CGGUGUUCAACUGGCGUGUCCGCGGGACGUCCUGCCGGUGGGCUUAGCCCGCAAGGGCGGCCCAACUUCAAAUCCCAUCGCGGUGCUCUUCACUGAGUGUCGAGGUGGGCCGGCACGUUUACUUUGAACAAAUUAGAGUGCUUAAAGCAGGCUAAAACUUCGCCUGAAUACUGUGUGCAUGGAAUAAUGGAAUAGGACCUCGGUUCUAUUUUGUUGGUUUUCGGAACCCCGAGGUAAUGAUUAAUAGGAACGGAUGGGGGCAUUCGUAUUGCGACGUUAGAGGUGAAAUUCUUGGAUCGUCGCAAGACGGACAGAAGCGAAAGCAUUUGCCAAAAACGCUUUCAUUGAUCAAGAACGAAAGUUAGAGGUUCGAAGGCGAUCAGAUACCGCCCUAGUUCUAACCAUAAACGAUGCCAGCUAGCGAUCCGUCGACGUUCCUCCGAUGACUCGACGGGCAGCUUCCGGGAAACCAAAGCUUUUGGGUUCCGGGGGAAGUAUGGUUGCAAAGCUGAAACUUAAAGGAAUUGACGGAAGGGCACCACCAGGAGUGGAGCCUGCGGCUUAAUUUGACUCAACACGGGAAACCUCACCAGGCCCGGACACCGGAAGGAUUGACAGAUUGAGAGCUCUUUCUUGAUUCGGUGGGUGGUGGUGCAUGGCCGUUUUUAGUUGGUGGAGCGAUUUGUCUGGUUAAUUCCGAUAACGAACGAGACUCUAGCCUGCUAACUAGGCGUAUUUUCGACAUCUCAAAGGUCCGUCGUCCCGGCCCUCGGGUCGUGGGCGUGCGCGAUUUUUACUGUCGGCGUACUAUCAAUUCUUCUAGAGGGACAGGUGGCUUCUAGCCGCACGAGAUUGAGCAAUAACAGGUCUGUGAUG
rnacentral:rRNA from 1 species